GAUGAAGAACGUAGCGAAAUGCGAUAAGUAAUGUGAAUUGCAGAAUUCAGUGAAUCAUCGAAUCUUUGAACGAACCUUGCGCCCUUUGGCCAUUCCGAAGGGCAUGCCUGUUUGAGUAUCAUGAACACCUCAACUCUUUAUGGUUUUCCAUGAUGAGCUUGGACUUUGGGGGUUUUGCUGGCCUAUGGUCGGCUCCUCUAAAAUAAAUCAGCUUACCGGUGUUUGGUGGGUAUCAUGGGUGUGAUAACUAUCUACGCUUGUGGUUUUUCCACCAGGUAACCUUCGACAGCGGAGGUUCACUGGAGCUCAUAGAUGUCUCUCCUCAGCGAGGACAGCCCUUUGAAUGUUUGAUCUCAAAUCAGGUAGGACUACCCGCUGAACUUAAGCAUAUCAAUAAGCGGAGGA
rnacentral:misc_RNA from 1 species